rnacentral:rRNA from 1 species
UGGGGAAUAUUGCACAAUGGGCGAAAGCCUGAUGCAGCAACGCCGCGUGAGCGAUGAAGGCCUUUGGGUCGUAAAGCUCUGUCCUUGGGGAAGAAAAAAUGACGGUACCCUUGGAGGAAGCCCCGGGCUAACUACGUGCCAGCAGCCGCGGUAAUACGUAGGGGGCAAGCGUUAUCCGGAAUUAUUGGGCGUAAAGAGUGCGUAGGUGGUUUUGUAAGCGCGGGGUGAAAGGCAAUAGCUCAACUAUUGUAAGCCCUGCGAACUGUAGGACUUGAGUGCAGGAGAGGAAAGCGGAAUUCCUAGUGUAGCGGUGAAAUGCGUAGAUAUUAGGAGGAACACCAGUGGCGAAGGCGGCUUUCUGGACUGUAACUGACACUGAGGCACGAAAGCGUGGGGAGCAAACAGGAUUAGAUACCCUGGUAGUCCACGCCGUAAACGAUGAGCACUAGGUGUCGGGGGCCGCAAGGCUUCGGUGCCGCAGUUAACGCAUUAAGUGCUCCGCCUGGGGAGUACGCACGCAAGUGUGAAAACUCAAAGGAAUUGACGGGGUCAUAGCUGUUUCCU